CACGUAGGCGGAUUGGUCAGUUAGGGGUGAAAUCCCAGAGCUCAACUCUGGAACUGCCUUUAAUACUGCCAGUCUAGAGUCCGGAAGAGGUAAGUGGAACUCCUAGUGUAGAGGUGGAAUUCGUAGAUAUUAGGAAGAACACCAGUGGCGAAGGCGGCUUACUGGUCCGGUACUGACGCUGAGGUGCGAAAGCGUGGGGAGCAAACA
rnacentral:rRNA from 1 species